GACGGCCUUCGGGUUGUAAACCUCUUUUAGUAGGGAAGAAGCGAAAGUGACGGUACCUGCAGAAAAAGCACCGGCUAACUACGUGCCAGCAGCCGCGGUAAUACGUAGGGUGCAAGCGUUGUCCGGAAUUAUUGGGCGUAAAGAGCUCGUAGGCGGUUUGUCGCGUCUGCUGUGAAAUCCGGAGGCUCAACCUCCGGCCUGCAGUGGGUACGGGCAGACUAGAGUGCGGUAGGGGAGAUUGGAAUUCCUGGUGUAGCGGUGGAAUGCGCAGAUAUCAGGAGGAACACCAAUGGCGAAGGCAGAUCUCUGGGCCGUAACUGACGCUGAGGAGCGAAAGCAUGGGGAGCGAACAGGAUUAGAUACCCUGGUAGUCCAUGCCGUAAACGUUGGGAACUAGGCGUAGGGUCCAUUCCACGGAUUCUGUGCCGCAGCUAACGCAUUAAGUUCCCCGCCUGGGGAGUACGGCCGCAAGGCUAAAACUCAAAGGAAUUGACGGGGGCCCGCACAAGCGGCGGAGCAUGCGGAUUAAUUCGAUGCAACGCGAAGAACCUUACCAAGGCUUGACAUAUACCGGAAAAAGUUCAGAAAUGUUCUCCCCGCAAGGUCGGUAUACAGGUGGUGCAUGGUUGUCGUCAGCUCGUGUCGUGAGA
rnacentral:rRNA from 2 species